rnacentral:rRNA from 1 species
AUUGAACGCUGGCGGCAUGCCUUACACAUGCAAGUCGAACGGCAGCACGGGAGCAAUCCUGGUGGCGAGUGGCGAACGGGUGAGUAAUACAUCGGAACGUGCCCAAUCGUGGGGGAUAACGUAGCGAAAGCUGUGCUAAUACCGCAUACGAUCUACGGAUGAAAGCAGGGGAUCGCAAGACCUUGCGCGAAUGGAGCGGCCGAUGGCAGAUUAGGUAGUUGGUGAGGUAAAGGCUCACCAAGCCGUCGAUCUGUAGCUGGUCUGAGAGGACGACCAGCCACACUGGGACUGAGACACGGCCCAGACUCCUACGGGAGGCAGCAGUGGGGAAUUUUGGACAAUGGGCGAAAGCCUGAUCCAGCCAUGCCGCGUGCAGGAUGAAGGCCUUCGGGUUGUAAACUGCUUUUGUACGGAACGAAACGGCCUUUUCUAAUAAAGAGGGCUAAUGACGGUACCGUAAGAAUAAGCACCGGCUAACUACGUGCCAGCAGCCGCGGUAAUACGUAGGGUGCAAGCGUUAAUCGGAAUUACUGGGCGUAAAGCGUGCGCAGGCGGUUAUGUAAGACAGUUGUGAAAUCCCCGGGCUCAACCUGGGAACUGCAUCUGUGACUGCAUAGCUAGAGUACGGUAGAGGGGGAUGGAAUUCCGCGUGUAGCAGUGAAAUGCGUAGAUAUGCGGAGGAACACCGAUGGCGAAGGCAAUCCCCCGGACCUGUACUGACGCUCAUGCACGAAAGCGUGGGGAGCAAACAGG